UGGGGAAUAUUGGACAAUGGGGGAAACCCUGAUCCAGCAAUGCCGCGUGAGUGAUGAAGGCCUUAGGGUUGUAAAGCUCUUUCGACGGGGACGAUGAUGACGGUACCAGUAGAAGAAGCCCCGGCUAACUUCGUGCCAGCAGCCGCGGUAAGACGAAGGGGGCUAGCGUUGUUCGGAAUUACUGGGCGUAAAGCGCACGUAGGCGGCUUUGUAAGUUAGAGGUGAAAGCCCGGAGCUCAACUCCGGAAUUGCCUUUAAGACUGCAUCGCUUGAAUCAUGGAGAGGUGAGUGGAAUUCCGAGUGUAGAGGUGAAAUUCGUAGAUAUUCGGAAGAACACCAGUGGCGAAGGCGACUCACUGGACAUGUAUUGACGCUGAGGUGCGAAAGCGUGGGGAGCAAAC
rnacentral:rRNA from 1 species